GGCUUCACGCAGCCCCGUCGGAUUCGCUUCGCUGUUGCUAGCUAGCGCUUUCUAGCGCCGUUUAAAAUAGAAUCAAGAAUGUUCCCUGCCGAUUUCCCCAGCAGCGCUUGCUGAGCCGUGCCAGGCACCGCGGCGCCCGUUCCUGCAACCUGCCUCCGUACGGGAACGCCAGGUGGGGAAGCCAGUCUUGCGCUCGGAGAAAGAAGCCCGAGGAGCCCGGCAGCAGCCACUGCGGAGCUUGCUCAGAAGUUCACUCCCUCUGUCACAGUGUAUGCAGUUUGCCAGGGUUGGGAAUUAUAGCAGGUGCCUGAACUAUUAAGGAGUGCAAAGGAAUGGGACACACAGGUAGUGAUCAAGUGCUCGCCUCUGCCAGUACGUCAGAGAGACUGCCCAGACCUGCAAAGGUGCCGCUUUUCAUGUUCACUCUCAAGGCUUCCCAUGUGAGUUUUCAACAUUUGGGCUACAGCUUGGACAGACAUUUUCUCCCUUGAUGCUACCUGGUUUACAUCACAGCACCUGGAUCCAAGACUGAAGAGUUUUAGGUGGAGAUAAGAAUCAGCCAGGAGGAGGAUUUUCCCAAUGCGCUAAAGAAAGAAAUAACGAAGAGGACUGGGGAUUUAAAGCCUCAUGUGCUUUGAAAGAACCCUGUAUCUCCUUUUAACCAGAGAAAUGAAGUUCAACUGCCAGAUGUGUGGACCAGGUAAGCAAGUACCUAAGCAUCUCGCUAUGCCUUUUGCCAAGACCCCACUGUGUUUCACAAACACCACAAGAUUUUGAGGUGGAGUCGAGCACUGUUUUGUAAGAGGAGAGACAAGAGGAUUGCCUGGCAGGUGUCUGAGCAGACCUCUGUUACAGCUCAGCCUAUGCUCUGAUUCCCAGGCCAGAUUUCUGCCACCUUCUCCAGCGAUCAUUAUUGCUCAUUUUGUAUCACUUCUAUGGACUACUCGAAAUUGCAAAUUUGCAAAUUAAUGCCUCAGAGUAGGUGUUAUGCCCCCCAAAAAAGAGAAUGAAGGCUGGUAUCUCUCAGUGUAACUUGCUCCCUAUGUAAACAGCCUUCUACUUUUGGCCCAUGUCUGAGUUCCUCUGGCCCAGAUCCCAGGGAGGUCUCUGAGCCCUGUAGUUUUCUGAGGUUCUGUAACCAGUGGUGGCAGGCUGCCCUUCUGCAGAGUUUCAUGGGGAAAAACACAGCAUAUUGCAUGGGGAGAAACACAGU
rnacentral:lncRNA from 1 species